AUUGAACGCUGGCGGCAUGCCUUACACAUGCAAGUCGAACGGCAGCAUGAUCUAGCUUGCUAGAUUGAUGGCGAGUGGCGAACGGGUGAGUAAUACAUCGGAACGUGCCCUGUAGUGGGGGAUAACUAGUCGAAAGAUUAGCUAAUACCGCAUACGACCUGAGGGUGAAAGUGGGGGACGCAAAGCCCCAUGCUAUAAGAGGCGGCGAUGUCCGAAUAGCUAGUUGGUGAGGUAAAGGCUCACCAAGGCGACGAUCAGUAGCUGGUCUGAGAGGACGAUCAGCCACACUGGGACUGAGACACGGCCCAGACUCCUACGGGAGGCAGCAGUGGGGAAUUUUGGACAAUGGGCGAAAGCCUGAUCCAGCAAUGCCGCGUGUGUGAAGAAGGCCUUCGGGUUGUAAAGCACUUUUGUCCGGAAAGAAAUGGCUCUGGUUAAUACCUGGGGUCGAUGACGGUACCGGAAGAAUAAGGACCGGCUAACUACGUG
rnacentral:rRNA from 1 species